rnacentral:rRNA from 1 species
GAUGAACGCUGGCGGCGUGCCUAAUACAUGCAAGUCGAGCGAACGGACGAGAAGCUUGCUUCUCUGAUGUUAGCGGCGGACGGGUGAGUAACACGUGGAUAACCUACCUAUAAGACUGGGAUAACUUCGGGAAACCGGAGCUAAUACCGGAUAAUAUUUUGAACCGCAUGGUUCAAAAGUGAAAGACGGUCUUGCGGUCACUUAUAGAUGGAUCCGCGCUGCAUUAGCUAGUUGGUAAGGUAACGGCUUACCAAGGCAACGAUGCAUAGCCGACCUGAGAGGCUGGUCGCCCACCCUGGAACUGAGCCACGCUCCAGACUCCUACGGGAGGCAGCAGUAGGGAAUCUUCCGCAAUGGGCGAAAGCCUGACGGAGCAACGCCGCGUGAGUGAUGAAGGUCUUCGGAUCGUAAAACUCUGUUAUUAGGUAAGAACAUAUGUGUAAGUAACUGUGCACAUCUUGACGGUACCUAAUCAGAAAGCCACGGCUAACUACGUG